rnacentral:rRNA from 1 species
CUUGGUCAUUUAGAGGAAGUAAAAGUCGUAACAAGGUUUCCGUAGGUGAACCUGCGGAAGGAUCAUUACUGAGUUAGGGUCUCAAGCCCGACCUCCUAUCCUUUGUCAAAAUACCACGUUGCUUCGGCGGGCUUUGGACCGUCGAUAGCCUCCUUAUAAACUCGGAGAAAUGUGUCGUCUAAAACAAUGCAGGAGCAAUCCUGAAAUUAAACAAAACUUUCAACAACGGAUCUCUUGGUUCUGGCAUCGAUGAAGAACGCAGCGAAAUGCGAUAAGUAAUGCGAAUUGCAGAAUUUCCGUGAGUCAUCGAAUCUUUGAACGCACAUUGCGCCCUUUGGCAUUCCGAAGGGCAUGCCUGUUCGAGCGUCAUUAUCACCCUAAACAUCUAGUUUAUGUUGGGUUAAAUUUGCUUCAAAUUGACCUCAAAGAUAAUGACAGCGUCUGACGACCGUAGAUGCAACGAGCUCUCUCUCCGCACGCAUCGAACGUCGUGGGAACCUGUCGUACCUAUCAUUUUUUUUUCUAGGUUUGACCUCGGAUCAGGUAGGAAUACCCGCUGAACUUAAGCAUAUCAAUAAGCGGAGGA